GAUGAACGCUGGCGGCGUGCCUAAUACAUGCAAGUCGAGCGAACGGACGAGAAGCUUGCUUCUCUGAUGUUAGCGGCGGACGGGUGAGUAACACGUGGAUAACCUACCUAUAAGACUGGGAUAACUUCGGGAAACCGGAGCUAAUACCGGAUGAUAUUUUGAACCGCAUUGUUCAAAAGUGAAAGACGGUCUUGCUGUCACUUAUAGAUGGUUCCGCGCUGCAUUAGCUAGUUGGUAAGGUAACGGCUUACCAAGGCAACGAUGCAUAGCCGACCUGAGAGGGUGAUCGGCCACACUGGAACUGAGACACGGUCCAGACUCCUACGGGAGGCAGCAGUAGGGAAUCUUCCGCAAUGGGCGAAAGCCUGACGGAGCAACGCCGCGUGAGUGAUGAAGGUCUUCGGAUCGUAAAACUCUGUUAUUAGGGAAGAACAUAUGUGUAAGUAACUGUGCACAUCUUGACGGUACCUAAUCAGAAAGCCACGGCUAACUACGUG
rnacentral:rRNA from 1 species